rnacentral:lncRNA from 1 species
UGUGCGGAGGAACAGGGAGGUCCGUGUGUCGUUCGUGCAGUGAGACUGGGGAGGUCCCGUGUGUUGUGUGUGCAGGAGACGGGCGGAGGUCCCUGGUUCCGUGUGUGGCGCAGGAGACGGGAGUCCUGGGUGUCGGUGGUGUGCGCAGAGGAGACGGGGAGGUCCCUGUGUAUCGUGUGUGCGGAGGAGAUGGUGAGGUCCGCUGGGUGUCUCUGUGUGCUCAGGAGACAGGGAGGUCCUGUCCCUGGGUGUUUGCUGUGCGCAGGAGAUGGGCGAGGUCCCUGGGUGUCGUGUGUGCUCAGGAGACAGGGAGGUCCCUGUCCCUGGUGUCGUUGUGUCGCAGCGAGAUGCGUGAGUGUCCCUGGUGUCGUGUGUGCGCCGAGAACAGGGAAGGUCCCUGUUCCCUGUGGUUGUCUGUGUCGCAGGAGAUGGGAGGUCCCGUGUGUGUCGUGUGUGCAGGAGAGGGCGGAGGUCCCUGUGUGUCGUGUGUGCGCAGGAGACGGGGAGGUCCCUGUGUGUCGUGUGUGCGGAGACAGGGAGGUCCCUGGUUCGUGUGUGCGGAGGAGCGGGAGGUCCCUGUGUGCGUGUGUGAGGAGACAAGGGAGGUCCCUGGGUUCGUUGUGCAGAGACGGAAGGACCCUGGGUGUUGUGUGUGCAGGAGACGGGGAGGUCCCUUGUGUCGUGAGGUGUCACAGGAGAUGGGGAGGUCCCUGUGUGUCGUGUGUGCACAGGAGAUGGGAAGGUCCCUGGGUGUCGUGUGUGCAGGAGACGGGAAGGUCCCUGGGUGUCGUGUGUGCAGGAGACAGGGAGGUCGCUGUGUCUUGUGUGUGCACAGGAGAUGGGAGGCGUCAACACACAUUUCAUGCUCACAUUUCCAUUCACUGUCCACACUGCACACUUGUACAUGGUCAAUGUCUAGACAUUUAUAGUUUGUUUAUGUGUUAUAUUCAUCUACUUUAUAUAUAUUCAUAUUUUAGGUUCAUAUAUUUAUUGUAUACACAUUUAUAUACUUGAUCUAUAUUAAUAUUUUAGGUUUAUAUACUUACUAUAUAUUUAU